ensembl:lncRNA
CCAAAAACACCAAAAAGCACCCCAAAAAAUACUGAAAAAAACCCCCAAAAACCAAAACACAGAGGGGAAUCCAAAACAACCAAGGGGAACACAAAAAACACAAAAAAAUAGUGGAAAAAACCCCCCAAAAAACCGAAACCCAGAGGGGAACCAAAACAACCAAGGGGAACACAAAAAACCCCAAAAACCACCAAAAAAUACUGAAAAAAACCCCAAAAACCAAAAACCUGAGGGGAAUCCAAAACAACCAAGGGGAACCCAAAAAAUGCCCCAAAAAUACUGGAAAAAAAAACCCAAAAACCAAAAACCUGAGGGGAACCCAAAACAACCAAGGGGAACCCAAAAACACCAAAAAGCACCCCAAAAAAUACUGGAAAAAAACCCAAAAAACCAAAAACCUGAGGGGAAUCCAAAACAACCACGGGGAACCCAAAAACACCAAAAAGCACCCCAAAAAUACUGAAAAAAAACCCCAAAAACCAAAACACAGUGGGGAAUCCAAAACAACCAUGGGGAACCCAAAAAACACCCAAAAAAUACUGAAAAAACCCCAAAAAUCCCAAACCACCAAGGGGAACACAAAAACACCAAAAAACACCCCAAAAAUACUGAAAAAAAACCCCCAAAAAACCAAAAACCUGAGGGGAACCCAAAACAACCAAGGGGAACCCAAAAAAACCCCCAAACCCCCAAAACCACCCCAAAAAAUCCCCAAAACACCCAAAAUAUACUGAAAAAAAACCCCAAAAUAUCAAAACACAGAGGGGAACCCAAAACCACCAAGGGGAACCUAAAAACAUCAAAAAACACCCAAAAAAUACUGAGAAAAAACCCCAAAAAACCAAACCCAAAGGGGAACCCAAAAAACCCCAAAAAACACCAGCAGGUACCCCAAAAACACACCAAAAACCAAAAACACAGAAAAAAUGUCCCAAAAUCACUUUAUUCCCACCUGGACAGUACAAACCGCCCCCUCUAAAAAUUCCCAAAAAUUCCAAAAAAUUCCCAAAAAUUCCAAAAAAUUCCCAAAAAUUCCCAAAGACCCAAACCCACCAAUUUUGGCCCCAGCUGUCCGUCCACGACACCAAAAACCUGAAUGACGCCUUUAAAAAGCGCCCCAAAAAUUCAAUUUAUUUCCCUUUUAACCUCACCUGGGCGCCACAAACCCCCCCCAAAAAAAUCCCCCAAAAAUUCCCAAAAAUCCCAAAAGACCCAAAAUCCCCGUUUUUGGCCCCAGCUGUCCAUCCACGAGACCGAGGACCCCAACGACAACCGGUACCUGCUGGUGAUGAAGGGCGCCCCCGAGCGCAUCCUGGACCGCUGCUCCACCAUCCUGCUGCAGGGCAAGGAGCAGCCGCUGGACGAGGAGAUGAAGGAGGCCUUCCAGAACGCUUACCUGGAGCUUGGGGGCUUGGGAGAGAGGGUUUUGGGUUUCUGCCACUUUUACCUGCCCGAGGAGCAGUACCCCAAGGGCAGAUUCAGGGAGGGAUUAUUGGAGUGAAUUUCGGUGAUUUCUGGGCUGAUUUUGGGCUGAUUUUUGGGGUGAUUUUUGAGCUGAUUUUGGGGUGAUUUUUGGGCUGAAUUUCAGUGAUUUUGGGUCUCU